rnacentral:lncRNA from 1 species
UCGACGUGGGGGUCGUACGGGCUCUUCCUCAGCGUAUGCAGCUCGCUCGGCUUGCAAACGGCGUCGUAAUCCAGGUUCGGUUUCCCGGCGAGGUUCGGCUCACCCAGACCCAGCGAGUACGGACAGUUCCUCAUCUCGCACUCGAUCGAGUACAAGAUCUUCUGCGCCAUCCCUUCCGAUUUCUGCCACGUGGCGAGUCGUGGCAGCAAACUGGCCUCGCUGAUGCGGCUCACCACCGUGUGCUCCCCCGAACUCCACACCUCCGCC